ensembl:lncRNA
CUUUUUCUCUCCAUCACAGUCACUCUUUAGAAAUAGUGUUGAGUCAUGUGGAAUUACUUUUGUUUAAAUCAGAUGUGCAAUUUCAGGAAAAUAUAAAAACUACAAGCACCCAUUGAUUAGCAGAUAUUCUUAUUGAAUCACCGUAAUCAAAAAGAGAAAGGCAUCCCAUUUGGGUCUCCAUGACAUAAAUAAAAAGUAUAUUUGGGAUCAUAUCUUAAAGCGAGCACUUCACAAAGCCACUGUAGACUGAAGUAAAAUAUUAAGGAUCAUUCCAUUCUUUGUUCUUUCCAAGGAGUAAAGACCACUACAAGAAGUAAAAUGCAAUCAUUACAUUUUAGAGAAUUAUAUUUACAUUAUUCUUUAAUUUCUGUAUCUUCAGUUCCCAGGCACAUUUUGUACCUCCUCACACAAUUUAGCACCCUAUUAAUACAAACAAUUGCUGCAGCUUUAUCCUAGGAGAACAGCAUGCUGCACCUGCAUUAAAAUCAGUAAGCCAACAGACUGUGACUUAAGCCAGUCCCCUGAGUAAAGGGUUUGAGUGUGGGUCUGCAGCCCACAGCCUCCAGCAGGAGCAACAGGAGUUCUGUGUCUGUGCAGCCAGCACUGGAGAAUGGUUAAAUACUCUCCUCUUUUCCUAAUUUAGGUUGUCUGAAAGGGAGGCAUCUAGUCUGAAGUUACUUUCCAAGUUGUUUUUUUUUAAAAAAAAACUAGUGCAGAGCAGGUGCCAUCAGAGGAUGAACCUCACCCUCAAGAGGAGUUCUGCUGAAGCUGGCACACCCCAUUCUCUGGAGAUUUCUAGAUUGAUGAUGGAGGAAGCUGAAGGCAAUGUUUCAGACCAAACCUCCAACCUUUAAAAUCAGAACCAUUUCUGAGCUAGCAUGGCCCUGGAGAUGACAAGGGGAGAAACACAGCAGACUGGAGAGAGGCUUCCCUGGUGAGAGGAGAGCUGUGGUAGCCCUGGGGCUGUCAAGCAUGGCUCUGGCCCCAGAUGACAGGCAUUAUAUACAACCCAACCAGGCAAACACAACAGGACACAACACCAGAAGACUAACGGGUGCACUUCCUCUUCUCCACCAGGAAGCCCGUCUCCUGGCCUAGCUUCCACUUCUCCUUCUCCACCAGGGAGCCUGUCUCCUGGCCCAGCUUCCUUCGUCCCCUCCCUCUUGCUCCCAGCCAUGCAUUUGCUCCCAUUUCCCUCCUGUUCCACUCCCAACUGGAAAAGCACUGAUCGCUUUCUUUCCCAAAGGGGAUCGCAUGACAUCCCUCUGGCAACGGCACCAAUUAAGUGUGAAGAAAAGGAACGUUAGGAAAAUGUUAAUAGAUUUUGACUUCUUCUAAUGUAAUUCAGAGCUGGAAACAACAAAGCAAGACUGAAGGAAGUAGGCUGCCAGCACCCAUGAACCAGCAGCUUUGUUUGGGAGCUGGAGCCACAGGGACAGGCGGGAGAAGAAGGCAGAGUGCUUUGGAAAAGGUGACAGCAUACUCAGGAACUGCUCUCUGACUUCCCAGAGUGAGAGCAGCACUGAUUGGUGCCAAAGGAAGAAGUGAUGAAAGAGAUUUGCACGGACACAAAGAGGAAGGAGCUGAAAAAAUGAUAUUCUGAGUCUAAUGCUUAGGAAAGCAUUUAUUGAAAAGAACAAAGAGGUGUGCUGAGAGGCCAAAAGACCAGGAAGCCAAACUGGGGAUACUGAGCAGGUCAAUCACAUCUAAAUGCUCAGUGCUCCUGGAGACUUUGGUUAUAUUACUUAAAGAAACUGGAA